rnacentral:lncRNA from 1 species
GGUCCCGCCGGCCCUGUAGGACCCAGGGGGAUCCACAGCCCAGUUCCCAUUGAUGAUGGACCGGCCCCCAGGGCCACGAAGUGCUGCGGGUCAGAGACUCCACAGCCAUCAGGACGCCUGCCAGAGCCAAGGAUCCCAUCACAGCCGGGGCUCUGGAGAGAGUGAGUGAGAGCACAAAAACAGCCCCACCAUCCCCAGCCAGACCCAGGGACAUGGACAGGUGCCCGAUCAGAUCCUUCAGGCUCUGCUCAGCGCAGCUUGGCAGACCACUCACCACCUGUGCUGUCUCCUGACCCAGCCCCAGGGAGAAGAAAGAAGGCAUGGCGCAGGGGAAGCAGAGGGGCUGGAAGUCAUUCAGGGCUGGGAGUAAGCAGGUGUCUGAAGAGAGUGUCCGGACAACACCUAUAUAGAGAAAAAGGUCAGACAGAAUUGGAAGGAUUAGAGGGAACUGUCCAGAGUGUCCAUGUAGACCAACACUGAGGCUCACGGAGUCGCUACCAGUCCAAGGUCACAUUCAGCAGCAGAGGGAGAACUACACCUCGGCCUCUUGGUGUUAUGAGG